GGGGGCAUAGCUCAUCUGGGAGAGCAGCAGACUGAAGUAGCCGAUUGGAUGCUAUAAUUUCUGAAGGUCCCGCGUUCGAUCCGCGGUGCCCCCA